UGAGGAAUAUUGGUCAAUGGGCGGGAGCCUGAACCAGCCAAGCCGCGUGAAGGAGGAAGGCGCCAGGCGUCGUAAACUUCUUUUGUCGGGGAACAAAGGGCGCCACGCGUGGCGUUGUGAGUGUACCCGAAGAAAAAGCAUCGGCUAACUCCGUGCCAGCAGCCGCGGUAAUACGGAGGAUGCGAGCGUUAUCCGGAUUUAUUGGGUUUAAAGGGUGCGUAGGCGGUCCGGAAAGUCAGCGGUAAAAGCCCGGGGCUCAACCCCGGCGAGCCGUUGAAACUGUCGGACUAGAGACGGCGAGAA
rnacentral:rRNA from 1 species